rnacentral:rRNA from 1 species
GAUGAACGCUGGCGGCGUGCCUAAUACAUGCAAGUCGAGCGAACGGACGAGAAGCUUGCUUCUCUGAUGUUAGCGGCGGACGGGUGAGUAACACGUGGAUAACCUACCUAUAAGACUGGGAUAACUUCGGGAAACCGGAGCUAAUACCGGAUAAUAUUUUGAACCGCAUGGUUCAAAAGUAAAAGACGGUCUUGCUGUUACUUAUAGAUGGAUCCGCGCUGCAUUAGCUAGUUGGUAAGGUAACGGCUUACCAAGGCAACGAUGCAUAGCCGACCUGAGAGGGUGAUCGGCCACACUGGAACUGAGACACGGUCCAGACUCCUACGGGAGGCAGCAGUAGGGAAUCUUCCGCAAUGGGCGAAAGCCUGACGGAGCAACGCCGCGUGAGUGAUGAAGGUCUUCGGAUCGUAAAACUCUGUUAUUAGGGAAGAACAUAUGUGUAAGUAACUGUGCACAUCUUGACGGUACCUAAUCAGAAAGCCACGGCUAACUACGUG